UUAGCUGAAACCAAAAAGAGGUAUAUUAUUGUUAAUAAUAAAAUUGAAUAAACACAUUCCAGCUAAA
rnacentral:tRNA from 1 species